rnacentral:rRNA from 1 species
UGGUCAAGUUAUUAAGGGUGCAGGGCGGAUGCCUUGGCACUAGGAGCCGAUGAAGGACGUGAUAAGCUGCGAUAAGCUUCGGGGAGUUGCACGUAAACUUUGAUCCGAAGAUUUCCGAAUGAGGAAACUCACUUAGAGUAAUGUCUAAGUAUCAUUAAGUGAAUACAUAGCUUAAUGAGGGGAACUCAGGGAACUGAAACAUCUAAGUACCUGAAGGAAGAGAAAGAAAUUCGAUUCCGUAAGUAGCGGCGAGCGAACGCGGAUUAGCCCAAACCAAUAAAGUUUUCUUUAUUGGGGUUGCGGACAUAUCAUAACGAAGAGGUAUCGUAAUUGAAGAGGUUUGGAAAGACCUACCACAGAAGGUAAUAGUCCUGUAUGUUAAACGAGAAGACUUUAGAUAUGAUCCAGAGUACCACGGGAC